rnacentral:sRNA from 1 species
CAUCCGCGCUCUCGAACAGCAUCCGCCAGUAGAAGUGACGCCGCAGCCGCUCCCCACGCCAGCGGCUCUGCAGCCCCAGCUGGUGCCGAUCCGAGUCCUGACCCAUUCACUGCUCCUGGCCUCAGGGAAACUGCUCACCCAACAAACUUCAUGGUUGCUUGGCACAAGCCAUGGACAUUUAAUGGUCCCCCUCACCAUCUGGCUUUUAUACUUCUACUGUUUCUUAUACCUGGAACACCCGCUCCCUGUUUCCACGCCAUUCCCAAACCUGGGUAAGUUUUGCUUUCGUUUUAAAUAUCAGACUUCUACUGACCAUGUUUUGGAGUUAGGAGCGUCCCUCAGCUUAGCCCCGCUGCCACCCGCUUCUGCCACAGCCCUCGCCACAGCAGGUUGAGCUUCCUGGCUAGACACACAUCUCCUCCAGCUGUGAGCUCCAGACCAGCGUCUACAUCACCUGCUAAGUACUGCACACGGCUCUUACCACACAGUAGGUGCUCAAUCCACAUGUCCACAGAUGAAUGGAUACAUAGUUGGCCUCCACGUCUCCUGCCCUCCUCAUUCCUGAGGCUCUGACUUCGAAUAGAAGGGAGAGGCCAGCUGGUCCAAUGUGCAGGGGCCUGGGGAGCUGGGGAAGAGCAAUACCCUGGAAGUUUCUCCGAAUCUAGAAGACCAUCUGUUUCCGCCCAGGUUAGGAUGAGGGAGGCGCCAGCCCCGCCAGCAUCCGUCACCACCUGGCAGGCCUCCUGCUACCUCCCCGCCCACUCCUCCUCCCUCCUCUGCCAGCUUUCAGCUAAUGGCAGACAAAGGGCUCACAUCAUCCAGACCUGGGAUGGGGAGGGGUGAAAGGAGGUUUGUGCCACCCGUCCACGGAGCUUGGGGGCGUAAGAGAAGCACAGAAACCACACUGCCUAGCCCUUUUGAGCCCAGCCUCACUCUUGUCCUUUUGGCAACAGGACCAAAGCAGUGGUUGCUCCUUCCAGCCAGCGCUCACUACUCGCUGCCAGGGGCCCGUGAGAUGUUGGAGGCUUGUGGGGAAAAUGGACUUUAAAACACGGGGAAAACCUACAGAAUUGAAGUUAAUAAAUGUUUAAUUAAAUGUCUGCAAAACAGAACAUGAUGUCAGCUAGUCAUUUGCAAUUUUGCUUUUAUUGGGUUAUAUAUAAUUUACAUUUGAUGUUUCAUGUGGCUGUAUUUUAAUAUGCUUGAUGUUAAGCCACUGAGGUCUUAAAACCAUACUGUCUAGGACAUGCAACCUUAUUUCCCUGGCUUUUCCCCUUCCUCUGGAACACGGCUGUGUACCCUAUGUGCAUCACAGUCACCAGAAUGAAGAUCCCCAAGGUAAGAUGGCUGUGUGAGUUUGUGUCCCAGCCCUGCCAUGGACCCUGCUUUGUGGCCUUGGGUCAUUUCAGCUUUCCUGGACCUUAUAUUUUUCCCCCAUCAUUGUAAGCACCAAGUGAUAAAGAGAUAACGGUAACUUACAAACUGUCGGGAUGUGGGCACAGCAUCAGUGAGAGAAGCAUGUAUUGGGUGGGGGUCUCUGACUCCUUGUGGCCACAGAGCGACUGCUCUUGAAACCUCCUCCAGGAAUCCCCCUGCAUGCUACAUCCUAUUCCGUUGAAAAAGCAGAUGUCACCAUAGUUGGGGCAGAACACCCACACAGGACACCUCAAAACACAUCCAGUGCCACUCCAAGCCAUCUCUAGGGUGGGUGCCACCAAUUGGUACAAGUGCCCAUCAUCAUCUCUUGCCAGGACAACCACAUCAGCCUUCCCUUCUCAGUGGAUCUCAUCCAUCCACUCCCACCCCCUACAGUUCAUUCUCCAUAUUUCCCAGCGGGAAAUUCUUAAAGGCUUACAGAUCUGGUCACUCACUUUCUAGAAGCCUUACACAGGCCUCUUAUCACACUUGGAACGAGACCCAAGCUUCUCCCCUCAGCUUGCAGGCUCCCAACCAUCUGGCCUGAUCCUUUUCUCACUGUGUCUCAAACUACGGGUUGCUUGUUCUCCGCACCCCAGCUGCAGCAGGAGUUCCCUGCCAGACUCGUUCCAGUCUCAGGACUCCUGCACUUGCUGUGUGCUCAAGCCUGGAACACCCUUCCCCAGAUCCUGCUCUGCCUAGCUACUCAUCAGCUCCCUCACACAUUCUUAGAGGCCACCCAUCCCACAUUGCGCCUACCACCCCCAAGGUUCAUUCUAGUCCAUCGUAUUCCUGCCUUCCCUCUGGUCCUCUAGCCUUCAUCUCCUGAGUGCUGGGAUUGCAGGUGUGAGACACCACAUCCUGUUUAUGAAGGGCUGGGAUCAAUCCCAGGGCUUUGUGGAUGCCGUGCAAGCAUUCUGCCAGCUGAGGUUGGUCUUCAGCUCCUAGACCUUUUCUCUCUAUUCUGUCACUGGUGCUCCACGGGGCAGGGGCCUCGUUUGUAACGGUCACCAGAGUGCCCUCUGCUUUUGCACAGGUAGAAGGCAAGUAUAAAUGUUGAAUGAACUGAUAAAGAAGUCUUGUGUGUGUUUCCUUCCUGGUCUUUGCAGGCUCUGGGCUUCUCUGUCUCAGUCCACACAAAGCCAGAACACCUCCCAGAACUCCACUCCGUGUAUUCAUUCUGUUGUUCUUCCUCCAGGAAGUCUUCCCUGGUGCCCCUUUAUGAUUGUCAGAUGUCAGUGGCCUGAAGCCCAGACUCUGCAGCCAGUACCCUUAACCUACAGGCCACUGUAGCUUGCGUCCUCACUUUACAAGGGUAUAGAGAUAUCUAAUGACAUUGAAUUUCUGGUUCCUAGUCUUCUUUUUUUUUUUUAAAAAUUUUUGAGAUAGGGUCUUGCUAUACGACUCUGGUUGGCCUAGAAUCUACUAAAUAAUCUAGAAUGGCCUCAAAUUUAUGAGAUUGCUCCUGCUUUAUCUUCCCAAGAGUUAGGAUUGCCGAUGUGAAUCUUGUUGUGUCAUUUCUGACUUCCUGUCUCUAAACCAAUCAAGAUAUUAUUUCAUUUCUUGGUGUGUGUGUGUGUGUGUGUGUGUGUGUGUGUGUGUGUGUGUGUGUGUGUAGGCAUGUGUGGGCCAUGUGUGGAGGUUGGGGGACAUCCUGUGGGAGUCAGCUCUUUCCUUCUCACAUGUGAGACCCAGGAAUCAAAAUCAAGUGGUUAGGCCUGGUAAUAAGUGUCUUUGACUUCUGAGCCAUCUCGCCAGCCUCCAGCUCACUGUCUGAUGCUAAGAGAAGAAGCGUGCUCUAGAAGAGAAAGCUGAGGAGCCAAUAAGCAUAAACAGGUGGGGCUGAGAGCAAAAAAGGCCUGGCCUGAGAAGUGGAGGCCAACAGUUAGUACUGGAAUCCACCUGCUCUGGAUCCAUGGCUUCCUCAAGACCCUACAACCUCCAUGAGCAGGCAGCAGAACCAGUAAGUGGACAGAAUUCACUCUUCUUCCCCUAUCCGGUCACUCCUGUGGCCCAGCAUCUUCUAGAGCCCAAGGGAUUUGCUUUAAUGGAGACAAGGAGGUGCGUCACUGUCCCUGAGAAACUUGAGUUCAGUCCUCGGCUUACCCAUCUCUCUCCUGUGAGGUAAAGUUCCUGUCAUUGAUUUUUGUCUCCAUUCAGACAGGCAAACGUGGCCUCAGACCUCAGAUCAUUGUCUGUUAGUGGUGCCUCCCCUUGAACAUCGGUCAUUUCUAUCCAUUUACCAUGGUCAGUCAAUCCGAGGGUCUCUUUCUGGGACGCUGCACCAUCACACCUGUCUAUGCUGUACCAUCCUGUUCUUCAGAUGCUACAUUCCUCUGACAGCCUAACCUACGUUCUGGAUACAGUGUUUUUUCCCCUUCUGUGGGUCUCUCUGCCUGGGGUUUCCAGUCCUUCAGUGGUCCAUCUGCUGGCCUGCUGCUCAGCUCAUGGCUCGGCAUGACUGCCCGUUUUCCAGCCGUUCUCUCCUGCUUGAUUUUCUUCUUCCUGACUCUGGGUUCUUCUCCUGUCUGUCUGUGUCUCUCACAUCCUCAGCUCCUCCAUCUGUCGGUCUCCGAGUUUCUGAGCCUGUGUUCUCUCCCCUCACCACUCCCCCUCAGGGCUCUGGGCCAAAACCACAACAGCUUCCAGAGGCUCCUCCGCUCUGCUUGCUCCAUCGGGGAAGCAGCCUGCAGGCCUGCUAAAGACCCCUGUCUUGCCCUGUGACAUCUGCUGGCUGAGGGUGGGGCUGGGAGGCAAUGGGCCUCCCAUCCUCCAAGUCCUUCACAUCUGCAGGAUGACAGACAGUGUGCAGGGCCUGCCGAUAAUGAUAUCAACUCACAUUAAGCACCAACCUUCCGGCACAACUGGGGAAUCAAAAAAGUGGUAAUGUGGUACAAGCAGACACAUAAGCAAGGCAUCUUGAAGGAUGCUGCUCAGGGGCUUUGUCAGGGAAGAAACCUGGUACUUUCUAGCUAGGCACGAUCAUAUUUGCCUGUAAGCCUGUCCAUGGGGAGCUGAAGCAGGAGGAUUGCUGGUCUGAGGCCAGCAAAGGUUAGACCCUAUCUCAAACUACAAAACAAGUAAGCUGAGUCGGAAGGGUUCCUGUGAAUCCAACACCAGCCUGUGCUACAUAAUAACUUCCAAGUUGGUCUGGGCUACUCAGUGAGACUCUUGUUUCAAAACAAAACAAAAAGCCAGAAUUGCUAACUGAAAGAGGUUGGUAGUUUCUGGCCAAGUUGAGUUUCCCACUAAAGCUGUCCCUAAGAACAGAGGGCCAGAGAAGAUCUGUCUGGCUAGGCGAGUUCAAUGGGCAGUUUCUUUUCUAGGGGUUCUCCACCCACGGCAGACAGUAACUGCCAUUCGUCCACUAUAUUCUGUUUUGGACCUUGCUAAAAUCACGUGACUUCUGUGACUGGGAGCCCAUCUUCUGAUGAAGAGACUGGAUAUCAUCAAAGAAAAAGUUCAUUUGAUGUGCGUGUGGGGUGGGUGUUGGGGGCUUGAGCUCAGGGCCCUGAACGUGCUAAGCAUGUGCUCUGUCCUUGAACUAUCUUCUUAGCUCCACUUGACAUUUAUUUCCCAAACACUGCUGAGUACCCUUUGUGUGCCAAGAACUAUGGUGGACACGGGUGGGGUUCUUCCAACCCAUUUGUAGGAAUAUUUUUUAAUAAUGAAGGCCUGGACACUGAUUAAAUCAUUGUGUAAAUUCGAAGAGACCAUGUUCCCUAGGCUCCAGUCAUGGGUUUUGUGCUGCAGCAUAGAGAAUACCAGUGGGAGUGGAGAAGGUUCUACAGACAGGGAGGAUUCUCUGGGAGUUGUGAUUGCCGAGCGAUCUGAAGUAGGUGCAGAAGCUAAGCAGGUGGACAGGGGAGGAGGGGAGGUUUUGUAGAGGAAACAACUUGAGCAAAGGUCUUUAUCUCAUGACCCAGGAAGGUUCUAAAGAGGAAGGUUUUAGAGGUGACAGCUGUGGAGAACCUCAUGGUGACAAGAGUGGAGGGUAGGUCUGCUGCCCGUUCAGGAAAAGGAUGGGCUUUUGUCAACGAAGGAGACAGUUACCAGUCAUUUGGAAGAGGUACUCUUCCAACUCCAACAUCCGGACAGCAACAGAGCUGUGUCUCAGGACACGGAGAGGUGCCUCAAUGUCGCCAGCGAGAGGAUCAAGCUGAGUGGAGGAACCCAGGCCCCACCUGUGGGGUUUGCUGGAGAGCCCAGGAAGAAUGACCUCAUCGUCCCCUUCUCUUGGUUUAUGCCUCAAUUCUGAGCACUCCUGCACGGAUGCGAAAAUAGGCCCUUCCUGGGGUUGGCAGCCAAAAGAAUCCUAAAUGUCAGUAAAGAAUGUGAUUUUACACGUUUGGCUCCCAUCUCAUGUGGUGCUGGGAGCCAGGCUGUCUCCCUUCUCCUUCACAGCCCCUGGAGAGCCACAGCCCCUCUUCUUCACUGGCACCAGGCCAAACACUUCCGGCCACUGAGUUUAGGCCUUAGCUACAAACCUGUGACUUUCUCCCACCCCACCCUCUCUCACCACCCCCCAGCCAGAGGCUCUAUUCUUGCUCAGUGGAAAAACAGAAAAGCUACUCUGGGGUAACAUUUUUGGGACCAGGCUUCUCACAUCCCUCCUUUCUCUGGGCCUCAGCUUUGCCAGCUAUGUUAUGGGUUGGUGAUGUGCAAGAGAGACUAAAGCUUAGAGCCCUGUGCUCUGAAGGUUCUGAAGGUCCUUUUUUGCUCUCCCCCCAAACCCAUGCCCCAUCCUGUCCCCCGCCUCUGGGUGGAGCUAGGAUGUUCAGAGACAGUGGGGAGGGGCCUUCAUUCCAAUCUCCUGGUGACAUUUGAAGGUAUCUGGAAACUAACGCAGACAGAAAGAAUCACAUCUGGCUGUUUGUGGUCUCACGGAAAUUCCAGAAGUAGACUGAUCUCAUUUGCGGGGUGUGUGUGUGUGUGUGUGUGUGUGUGUGUGUGUGUGUGUGUGUAGAGGCACACUCUAUCUAAAGAGGAAGCCUGCUUCAGCUCCGACCACCCACAUCCUAGGAGAGGAUACAGUUCAACGACAGAGGCUCCAUUUUGUUUCCCCUUCUAACAUUUUCAAGCCCACCCAGAAAUUAGGACAUUAACCAAAAAGGUAAGUCCCACGUUGGGAAUGAUGGUGACUAGUUAAUGAGAUAUCAGACGAUGUUACAAGGAAAACCCUUCUGUGCUCUCAUGAGUUUAUAUGCACCACAUGCUUGGCAGUUACGAGCACUUGUUGCUCUUGCAGAGGACCUGGCCUUGGUUCCCAACACCUAUACGGUGGC